GACUGGUAUGGGAAAUCGCAUUAUCUUUUCUGGACGAUGUCAUUGUCUUUUCUUCGACCUUUUUAAAUUGGGGACUGGUAUGAAUGGGCUAAUUAGGAAUAGACUUUUUUAUUAGUAAUAACUUAAUUUUAUUAUCAAGUUAAAAGGCUUGGUUAAUGUAGAGUGACAAGAAGACCCUAAGAUUUUUACAGGGUAGUUGUUUAUUGGCUUGUGUGGCAGUAAAGAGGGUGAGUGAUUAUUUUGUUUAGCUGGGGCGGUUGGAAUAUUGUCUAUUUUGUAAUUUACUUUAAUGAUAGUAUUGUGUAUAUUAUUAUCCUUGUUGGAAGACAUGAUAAAUUACCUUAGGGAUAACAGCAUAAUCUUUUCUGAGAGACCGUAUUGACGAAGAGGUUUGUGACCUCGAUGUUGGAUUUGAAUAACUUUUAGGGACCGCACUUGCAAAAGUUGGUCUGUUCGACCAUUAAAUCUCACAUUGAUUUUGAACACUUUCAGCUCCUGUGAAUGACCCCACCCCUGAUCUUCAACACAAGCCAAUUUAAAAUCCUCAA
rnacentral:rRNA from 1 species